UGGGGAAUAUUGCACAAUGGGCGCAAGCCUGAUGCAGCCAUGCCGCGUGUAUGAAGAAGGCCUUCGGGUUGUAAAGUACUUUCAGCGAGGAGGAAGGCAUUGUGGUUAAUAACCGCAGUGAUUGACGUUACUCGCAGAAGAAGCACCGGCUAACUCCGUGCCAGCAGCCGCGGUAAUACGGAGGGUGCAAGCGUUAAUCGGAAUUACUGGGCGUAAAGCGCACGCAGGCGGUCUGUCAAGUCGGAUGUGAAAUCCCCGGGCUCAACCUGGGAACUGCAUCCGAAACUGGCAGGCUAGAGUCUUGUAGAGGGGGGUAGAAUUCCAGGUGUAGCGGUGAAAUGCGUAGAGAUCUGGAGGAAUACCGGUGGCGAAGGCGGCCCCCUGGACAAAGACUGAUGCUCAGGUGCGAAAGCGUGGGGAGCAAACA
rnacentral:rRNA from 1 species